UACGGGGGGAGCAAGCGUUGUUCGGAUUUACUGGGCGUAAAGGGCGCGUAGGCGGUCAGCACAAGUCAGUUGUGAAAUCUCCGGGCUUAACUCGGAACUGCAUUGGAAACUCAUGGACUAGAGUAUGAGAGGGGUUAAGGGAAUUCCCGGUGUAAGGGUGAAAUCUGCAGAGAUCGGGAGGAACACCAGUCGCGAAGGCGCUUAACUGGCUCAUUACUGACGCUCAGGGACGAAAGCUAGGGUAGCAAACGGG
rnacentral:rRNA from 1 species